AGAGCCGGCCGGGCGGUCGCGACGGGUCCCUGACCCGCCGAGGAACGUCCGGGCUCCACAGAGCAGGGUGGUGGGUAACGCCCACCCGGGGUGACCCGCGGGACAGUGCCACAGAAAACAGACCGCCCACCGCUUCGGCGCGUGGGUAAGGGUGAAACGGUGGUGUAAGAGACCACCAGCGACCGGGGUGACCCGGCCGGCUAGGUAAACCCCACCUGGAGCAAGGUCAAGAUCGGUGCCUCCGGGCGCCGUGCGCGAGUGUUCGAGGGCUGCUCGCCCGAGCUCGCGGGUAGACCGCACGAGGCUGUCGGCAACGGCAGCCCUAGAUGGAUGGCCGUCUCUCCGGGCCGCGCGAGCAACCCGGAUGACAGAACCCGGCGUACAGGCCGGCUCUUCCG
rfam:Streptomyces aureofaciens strain ATCC 10762 contig_6, whole genome shotgun sequence.